GACGAACGCUGGCGGCGUGCUUAACACAUGCAAGUCGAACGGAAAGGCCCUUCUUUUGUGGGGUGCUCGAGUGGCGAACGGGUGAGUAACACGUGAGUAACCUGCCCUUGACUUUGGGAUAACUUCAGGAAACUGGGGCUAAUACCGGAUAGGAGCUCCUGCUGCAUGGUGGGGGUUGGAAAGUUUCGGCGGUUGGGGAUGGACUCGCGGCUUAUCAGCUUGUUGGUGGGGUAGUGGCUUACCAAGGCUUUGACGGGUAGCCGGCCUGAGAGGGUGACCGGCCACAUUGGGACUGAGAUACGGCCCAGACUCCUACGGGAGGCAGCAGUGGGGAAUAUUGCACAAUGGGCGGAAGCCUGAUGCAGCAACGCAGCGUGCGGGAUGACGGCCUUCGGGUUGUAAACCGCUUUCGCCUGUGACGAAGCGUGAGUGACGGUAAUGGGUAAAGAAGCACCGGCUAACUACGUG
rnacentral:rRNA from 1 species